rnacentral:rRNA from 1 species
UACGGAGGAGGCAAGCGUUAUCCGGAAUUAUUGGGCGUAAAGCGUCCGCAGGUGGCACCUCAAGUCUGCUGUCAAAGACCGGGGCUUAACCCCAGAAAGGCAGUGGAAACUGAAGUGCUAGAGUGCAGUAGGGGUAGAGGGAAUUCCCGGUGUAGCGGUGAAAUGCGUAGAGAUCGGGAAGAACAUCGGUGGCGAAAGCGCUCUGCUGGACUGCAACUGACACUCAGGGACGAAAGCUAGGGGAGC